GUGCUUCUACAAGGCGAGCAAGGAGUAGCCACUUCCGGCUACGAUGUGUGUACCUUAGGAAACCAGUUUAAAUCGUCUUUAUUGUGUAGCCUUGUGAAUAUUCUUGUCCCUGAUGUGUAGGAGAGUAUUGAAAGAAUCUAGAAAUGUCUCCAAAGUAGUGUGUCAGCAAGGAAAAACAGUCCCGCUACUGUAUGAUGAUGAUCUACUAUACUGCAGCUGCAGCGUCGAGGAACUGUACUGCUGCUGAGCACAUCAUCUUCAAACCCACAACAUGAGCCCUAUAUGUGUCCUGUGAGGUCAAGUGGACUCAUCGUGGAAUCAGCACAAGUCGGAGCAGUGCGUUGCAGGCUCUCCAGCUUUCUCCCUCUGCAGAGGCCUCUCAUGUCAUCCUCCCAAUCGAUCUGUCUACUGUAAUGUAAAGUAUCAUCGCACCCUGGAGGAUAUCGUCUGACAAUUUUGUCAGGGAUCAUUAGAAUACUUCUUUUUGAUUGCUCAGGCUGCGGCCGGCAGGAAGUGGCUCCCUUGUUUUAAACCAAGAUACAAGGACAAGGGACCUUGCCAGUAACCAAGAAGCUGAGAUGUUCAGGAGAGGUGAAGUUGCCAAGGGAAACAGGAGAACAUUUAUAGUUGUAAACAAAACUGAGGUUACAUU